UCCCCGUUACCGGGGCAGUCUGAAUAGAAAAAUUCAACUAUUCAUAAGGGUUGCGCUCGUUGAUGGACUUAACCAAACAUCUCACGACACGAGCUGAAGACGGCCAUGCAACACCUGUCACUGGGUUCCCGAAGGCACUCUCGGCUUUCACCAAAAUUCCCAGGAUGUCAAGCCUUGGUAAGGUUCUUCGCUUACCAUCGAAUUAAACAACACGCUCCACCGCUUGUGCGGGUCCCCGUCAAUUCCUUUGAGUUUUAGCCUUGCGGCCGUACUCCCCAGGCGGGAUGCUUAAUGCGUUAGCUGCGCCACCGAAGAGCAAGCUCCCCAACGGCUGGCAUUCAUCGUUUACGGCGUGGACUAC
rnacentral:misc_RNA from 1 species